UACGAAGGGGGCUAGCGUUGCUCGGAAUCACUGGGCGUAAAGGGUGCGUAGGCGGGUCUUUAAGUCAGGGGUGAAAUCCUGGAGCUCAACUCCAGAACUGCCUUUGAUACUGAGGAUCUUGAGUACGGGAGAGGUGAGUGGAACUGCGAGUGUAGAGGUGAAAUUCGUAGAUAUUCGCAAGAACACCAGUGGCGAAGGCGGCUCACUGGCCCGUAACUGACGCUGAGGCACGAAAGCGUGGGGAUCAAACAGG
rnacentral:rRNA from 1 species